AUUGACCGCUGGCGGCAGGCCUAACACAUGCAAGUCGAGCGGAUGAAGGGAGCUGGCUCCUGGAUUCAGCGGCGGACGGGUGAGUAAUGCCUAGGAAUCUGCCUGGUAGUGGGGGAUAACGCCCGGAAACGGGCGCUAAUCGCGCAUACGUCCUGAGGGAGAAAGUGGGGGAUCUUCGGACCUCACGCUAUCAGAUGAGCCUAGGUCGGAUUAGCUAGUUGGUGGGGUAAAGGCCUACCAAGGCGACGAUCCGUAACUGGUCUGAGAGGAUGAUCAGUCACACUGGAACUGAGACACGGUCCAGACUCCUACGGGAGGCAGCAGUGGGGAAUAUUGGACAAUGGGCGAAAGCCUGAUCCAGCCAUGCCGCGUGUGUGAAGAAGGUCUUCGGAUUGUAAAGCACUUUAAGUUGGGAGGAAGGGCAGUAAGUUAAUACCUUGCUGUUUUGACGGUACCAACAGAAUAAGCACCGGCUAACUUCGUG
rnacentral:rRNA from 1 species